UACGGAGGGUGCAAGCGUUGCUCGGAAUUACUGGGCGUAAAGGGCGCGUAGGCGGCCUUCUAAGUCGAACGUGAAAUCCCCGGGCUCAACCCGGGAACUGCGUCCGAUACUGGAAGGCUUGAAUCCGGGAGAGGGAUGCGGAAUUCCAGGUGUAGCGGUGAAAUGCGUAGAUAUCUGGAGGAACACCGGUGGCGAAGGCGGCAUCCUGGACCGGCAUUGACGCUGAGGCGCGAAAGCGUGGGGAGCAAACAGG
rnacentral:rRNA from 1 species